CUACGGGAGGCGAGAAUUUUUCACAAUGGGCGCAAGCCUGAUGGAGCGACGCCGCGUGGGGGAUGAAUGGCUUCGGCCCGUAAACCCCUGUCAGUCGCGAACAAGUCGUCCGGUCUAAUACGUCGGACGUUGAUAGUAGCGGAAGAGGAAGGGACGGCUAACUCUGUGCCAGCAGCCGCGGUAAUACAGAGGUCCCGAGCGUUGUUCGGAUUCACUGGGCGUAAAGGGUGCGUAGGCGGUCGGAUGAGUCUGAUGUGAAAUCUCGGAGCUCAACUCCGAAACGGCAUUGGAUACUAUCCGGCUUGAGGGUUGGAGGGGGGACUGGAAUUCUCGGUGUAGCAGUGAAAUGCGUAGAUAUCGAGAGGAACACCAGUGGCGAAGGCGAGUCCCUGGACAACCCCUGACGCUGAGGCACGAAAGCUAGGGGAGCAAACAGGAUUAGAUACCCCGGUAGG
rnacentral:rRNA from 1 species